GAUGAACGCUAGCGAUAGGCUUAACACAUGCAAGUCGAGGGGCAGCAUGGUCUUAGCUUGCUAAGGCUGAUGGCGACCGGCGCACGGGUGCGUAACGCGUAUGCAACUUGCCUCACAGAGGGGGAUAACCCGUCGAAAGACGGACUAAUACCGCGUACACUCUAUGUUGGGCAUCCAAUGUAGAGGAAAUGAAAUUCGCUGUGAGAUAGGCAUGCGUCCCAUUAGCUAGUUGGUGAGGUAACGGCUCACCAAGGCGACGAUGGGUAGGGGAACUGAGAGGUCGAACCCCACACGGGUACUGAGACACGGACCAGACUCCUACGGGAGGCAGCAGUGAGGAAUAGUGGUCAAUGGGCGAGAGCCUGAGCCAGCCAAGUCGCGUGAAGGAUGACUGUCUUAUGGAUUGUAAACUUCUUUUAGACGGGAAUAACAAGAGUAACGUGUGGCUCCCUGCAUGUACCGUAUGAAUAAGCAUCGGCUAACUCCGUG
rnacentral:rRNA from 1 species